CCUACGGGAGGCUGCAGUGGGGAGUUUUCGGCAAUGGGGGCAACCCUGACCGAGCAACGCCGCGUGAGUGAUGAAAGUCUUCGGAUUGUAAAGCUCUGUUAUAAGGGAAGAAUGAUAACUCAAGGAAAUGUGAGUUGUUUGACGGUACCUUAUUAGAAAGCCACGGCUAACUAUGUGCCAGCAGCCGCGGUAAUACAUAGGUGGCAAGCGUUAUCCGGAAUUAUUGGGCGUAAAGAGUGAGCAGGCGGCAGGAUAAGUUUGGAGUGAAAGCGUGGGGCUCAACCCCAUACAGCUUCAAAAACUGUCCAGCUAGAGUACGAGAGAAGUAAGCGGAAUUCCAUGUGUAGCGGUGAAAUGCGUAGAUAUAUGGAGGAACACCAGUGGCGAAGGCGGCUUACUAGCUCGAUACUGACGCUCAGUCACGAAAGCGUGGGGAGCAAACAGGAUUAGAUACCCCUGUAGUC
rnacentral:rRNA from 1 species